ensembl:processed_transcript 9830144P21Rik RIKEN cDNA 9830144P21 gene
UCUGUUCAGCAGAACGCUUCGGAAAGCCAAGGUGGACAGGCAGAGAUCAUACACUCAGACCUCAAAUUUCAUGUAGAUGCUCCUCUCUCUCUGCAUACACUGAAGCCUUCGCGGUAUCCAUUGUGGCCUCGAGAUCUCCUGAGGCUGCAGGCUUUUCUUUGGAAAGGAUUAUGAAAGUACACACGGAGUUCUCUGCUUGUAGCUUUUGCUUUCUGUGAUGUGAUGGACACGCAUGCUGUGGAGGACAAAUGGAGGUCAGACGACAGCCUACAGGAGUCGGGUCUUUCUCUCUACCACGUGGUUCCUGGGACCAAGUUUAGGUUACCAAGCUUCUAAAUGAUCUCGGAACGCGCACUCACCUCGGAUGAAGUCGUCUGAGCGGUACCCAACGCCUUGUCGCCUUCGGACUGGUGUGCCAGUUGAAUGCCUCCUUGUACUUCCUCCACCCCUGGGUGACAUGUUCCCUCUUGUGCAGACUGUGACCUCAAGUGGCUUUCUCGAUAUCUGCAGUGCCUUAAUCUUCUCCUCAGGACGGUGUGACUUCCCGACUGAGUUCCGUGAGCAGUAAAUGAGACAGACAAGCGGGGGGUUUUGCUCUUGUGAGACAGGAUCUCAUUCUGCAGCCGACACUGGCCUGGAAUUCACAACAAUUCUCCUGGCUCCAUCUCUGCUGUUCCAGAAUUACAGGGCUCAACCUAAACUGAGGCAAUUCAAGGUCAUAUACUCAUAGCUCAGACUUGAGAUGAAGUUACCAGUUCAGAAAACCUGCUUGUCACAUCACACAGUCAAAGUAAGAUGCCCGGAGAAUCAGUGCCUAGUAGACUAUUACCUUGCCGGGAGAAUUGCAAAGCCAGGCAAGCUUGUAAUCUCAGUAGCUAGGAAGCUGAGGCCCAAGACACAAGACCAGCCUGAGAGACACAGCAAAACCUCGGGAGGAAGAAGAGGAAAGCAGGAAGGGGGCAACAAAGGCAGAAGCAGCUGCUGCAAAAGCCUGUUCGGAGAGUAGCAGCCUCUCAGAAACAUGACAGAGAAGGCUGAGGUCAUUGACCAGAUCACAUGCAUCAUUUUAUUUAAUCCUCAUGAAAACCCUGGGAUGUCAGUGGUGUUGUCAUCCCCAUCUUUUGGAUGAACAACGGACAUAUCAAUGAAUGAGUUAGCCUCCUGGGUCACCCAACUGUAAGUGGUAGAGCUGGAGAGUGAGCCCAGACAUGUCCGGGCCCAAAGCCUGUACUUCUCAGCCUACAGGCCGCACAGGGGAGGCAUGCCACUGACAGCAAGACCGCUACUUCCACAGGAAGCUCUGAGAGCAAAGCCUUCCUCUACUGUAGAUGGUGUUUCUACAUACGAAGUGUUAGAGCCAUCUAAAGCAGUGGUUCUUAGCCUGUGGGUUGAGACCCUUUUAGAGCUGAAGGACCCUUUUACAAGGAUCACCUAAGACCAUCAGAAAACACAGACAUUCAUAACAGUAACAACAUUACAGCAAAAGUGUAGGAGAUGAGGAGAUCGCUCCGUGGGCAAGGCAUUUGCUGCAGAAGCCUGAGGACCUGGGUUCAGAUUCCUAGCACCCACAUAGAAGCCGAGCACAGCAAUGCGUGUCUACGGCCACUCGGAGGAGGCACACACAGCAGACUUGAUGGAAUUCCAGCUCUCACAAUCUUUCCACCCCCUCUUCCGCAAUGUCCCCUGAGCCACGGAUGCCGGAGCUGUGGUGUGGAUGAAUUCACUGGGGCCUGGGUUCCUCACAUCCUCUUGAUCUCUACAUGUGUCCAGUUGCAGUUCUGUUAUGGUUGCCUUUUGCUGUAAAAGGAGGCUUCCUUGAUGAGGAGUGGGAGCUACACUUUCCUGUGCGAGCAGGAUAAGAUUUAGAAUGUAGUAAGGAACUGUGCUGGUCUAGCAAGCUGAUGGCAGUAGACUCUCUUCUAAGGCCCCUGACCACACUAGGCCCAAGAAGCUUGCUAGGUAUAAUUUCUAUAGAGGGAGUUUGAAUGGAGACACCAGGCAUGGAUGGUGAAUGAUGCUACUCCUACAAACCAUGGAUUAUUAAACAAAGAUCCAGCUACCUCCCUAUGAGUUGUCGCUCACAGAGGCCACAGAGGUCUCCAAAGCAGUACAAACUAUGGCUGUUGCUCCUGACUACUGUCUAGAACUCACCUACUGCUGAAGACACUACAUAGGUCAGUUGUAGGACAUCAAGCUAGGACUGACCUGGAAGUGCCUUCUACUGGGUGCUUUCAUACUGUUAGAAGGUGCUAUGCAGCCCACUGGAGAAGACAUCACUUUUCCUCCAGAGUUGAAUCCUGGGUGUUACAACACCAACCUGCCAGGCAAGGUGUGCCUGUUGGUACAUCCAUGGUAUGAGGAUUAUGGAAGUUUUUAAAAAAACAACUUUCUGACUGAGGUUAAUGCUACAAGAGGGAGAAUAAAUGUCUGGUACUAUACCCUUGCCCAAGAGCCUACGGCCAAAGAGGUCAUAGACCCAAGCCAGCCUGAGCCUCCAGAUGUCUCUUCUCUGACAAUACACACCAAGCACUGACGUGCUCCGUGCCUGACGGUCCAUGGGAAGCCGCUCUCGCUCCGGAGCCUCCUCCAGGUCACCAAGUUUGAAUGACACCGUCCUCUCCUCCACCACAGCCCGGAGUGGCCCAGUGGCACACACUACCUCAGACACAGGAUUCCUAUGCUCAACGUCUCCAGGAGCCAUCUUUGUUUCUUCAUGGUCUUCUUUUAAGUUGCUCUUCUUUUCCAUUAAGGGACUUUCAGAUGGACUAGACUUUACUUCUCCUAAAACAUAAAGAGGAUUUGUGAUUUGACGAUACUAUCUUGCUCCACAUUCCUCUCUAUCCACCCCUGAAACCCUUCUCAAAAUAACAGAACCAGACGAUAAGGGCACAGAAAACUGCACAUCCCACCGAGAUGAGGAUGGUACCCCACAGAGGAAGUUUGUCAAAGCCCAGCACUACGAGAUAAAAUGGUGCAUCUUGAAAACCCCAGGGCAACAGCCCCCUGCAACAAUGUGUAAACCCUCCUGAGGGGAAGGAGGGCUUCCCCAAGCCAGCCCGUCACCGUCACCCGUUUCAGCUGCUGCCAUUCCAGAGUUUCAUCAGGCUACUGGCUAUGCAGACCAUGGAGAAAACGUGAAUGAACAUCUUAAACCCACAGCAACCAAAGCCACUGAAACACUUGCUGGACUCAUGUGCUAACUUUCUUCAAGAAUCGCUACAGUAAGGACCUAUAACUAUAAAAACAAUCACAGCAUCCCUUUCUGCACUCAGCUCCUCAUCCUAACUGCCCCACAUUACAUUUACAUAUGACUUAUUUUAAUGUCAAAAGGGAGUGUCUCAAGUCAGUGUCAUGCAGACACCACACACU